AACUUCAACAACGAUCUCUUGUUCUGCAUCGAUGAAGAACGCAGCAAAAUGCGAUAAUAAUGUGAAUUGCAGAAUCAUGAAUCAUCGAAUCUUUGAACGCACAUUCGCCGCCAGUAUUCUGCGGCAUGCCUGUCGAGCUCAUUCAACCUCAACCCAGCUUGGUUGGAGCUGCAGUCCUGCUGCACUCCCCAAAUACAUUGCGUCACGUCGAGCUCCAUAGCGUAGUAAUUACAUAUCGUACUGGUAAUCGUCGCGCCACGCCGUUAAACCCCAACUUCUGAAUGUUGACCUCGAUCAGUAGGAAUACCCGCUGAACUUAAGCAUAUCAAUAACGAGGAAAAGAAACCAACAGGAUUGCCCUAUAACGCGAGUGAAGCGCAACAGCUCAAAUUGAAAUCUGGCUUCGGGCCCGAGUGUAAUUGUAGAGAUGAUUUGAUCGGUGCCUCCGAUUCCCUGAACGGACGCCAUAGAGGUGAAGCCCCGUCUGUGAUGCCAAAUCUCUGUAAAUCUCCUUCGACGAGUCGAGUAGUUUGGAAUGCUGCUCUAAAUGGAGUAUAGUCUUCUAAACUAAAUACCGCCAGAGACCGAUAGCGCACAAGUAGAGUAUCGAAGAUGAAAGCACUUGAAAAGAGAGUUAAAAAGUACGUGAAAUUGUGAAAGAACGUUAUGACCAACUUGGCUUGGUAAUCAUCUGGUUCUCUCCAGUGCACUUUCCAGCCCACCAGCAUCAUUUUCGCCGGGAUAAAGACUCGGAAGUGCUCCCUCGGAGUUAUAGCCGUUGUAAUACCUGGUGGGACUGAGUUCGCGCUCUGCAAGGAUGCUGCGUAAUGUCAUCAACGACCCGUCUGAAACACGACCAAGAGUCGUCUUCGUAUGCGAGUUCGGUCAAACCCCUACGCGUAAUGAAAGAACGCAGUGAGACUCGCGCAUCAUCGACGAUCCUGAUUCCGAUGAUUGAGUAAGCAACGGCCGACCGAAGAAGUGAACUAUGCCUGUGUAGGUGAAGCCAGAGAAACUCUGGAGCUCGCAGCGUUCUGACGUGCAAAUCGAUCGUCAAACAUGGCAUGGGGCGAAAGACUAAUCGAACCUUCUAGUAGCUGUUCGCCGAAGUUCCCUCAGAUAGCAGUGUUGAACUCAGUUUAUGAGUAAAGCGAAUGAUUAGGACUCGGGCGCUAUUUAGCCUCAUCCAUUCUCAAACUUAAAUAUGUAAGAAGCUCUUGUGCUUAAUUGAACGUGAGCAUUCGAAGUAUCAACACUAGUGGCCAUUUUGUAAGCAGAACUGCGAUGCGGAUGAACCGAACGCGAGUUAAGGUGCCAGAUAGACGCUCAUCAGACACCACAAAAGGUUAGUACAUCUGACAGCAGACGGCCAUGAAUCGAAUCCGCUAAGACUGUGAACAACUCACCUGCCGAAUGUACUACCCUGAAAAGAUGCGCUCAAGCGUCUCACCCAUACCUCGCCCUCAGGUAAAACGAAGCCCUGAGAGUAGGCGGACGUGAGUCAGUGACGAAGCUAGCGUGAGCCCGGUUGAACGCCUCUAGUGCAAUCUUGGUAUAGCAAAUACUCAAUGAGAACUUGAAGACCGAAUGGGAAAGUUCCAUGAACACGUGACAUGGUAGUCGAUCCUAAGCUAUAGGAAUUCCGUUCAAAGCGCACUUGCGCCGUCUAGCGAAAGGAGCCGUCAAUAUUCCGGCACCUGGAUGUGGUUUGCGCGGCAACGCAACUGAACGGAACGACGCGGGGCCCCAAGCAGAUUCUCUUUCUCUUAACAGCUCUCACCCUGAAAUCGUUUGUCCGGAGCUAGGUUAAUGCUGAAGAGCCGCACCUCUGCCGGUUGUGCCUCUCGACGUCCCUUGAAAAUCCACGGAAAAAUAAUUCUCACGCCAGUCGUACUCAUAACCGCAGCAGGUCUCCAAGUGAACAGCCUCUGUUAUAGAACAAUGUAGAUAAGGAAGUCGGCAAAAUAGAUCCGUAACUUCGGAAAAGAUGCUCUAAGGUUGGCACGUUGGCCUUGGCGACUCCUGGAGCAGCCGCCACUAGUCGGCAACCGACCGGAGCGCCAGCAUCCGGUGCUGAUGCCCUUGCAGCUUCGCCGUCCGGCGUGCGGUAACAACCAACUUAGAACUGGUACGACAAGGGAAUCUGACGUCUAAUUAAAACAUAGCAUUGCGAUGCCAGAAAGUGUUGACGCAAUUGAUCUGCCCAGCUCUGAAUUCAAGUGAAGUAAUCAACCAAGCGCGGUAAACGCGGAUAACUAGACUCUUAAGUAGCCAAAGCCUCGUCAUCUAAUAGUGACGCGCAUAAGAUAACGAGAUCCCACUCCCAUCUACUACUACGAACCACACCAAGGAACGCUUGCAAAUCACGGGAAAAAACCCUGUGACUGACUCUAGUUACAUGUAAAAGACAUAGAGUGAAAAGGGAGCUCGCCGUAAAUACCACACCCUAUUUUUUACUUAUCAAUAACGGCGAUACGUCCAACUUCUGUUAAGUCCUCGCGGGCCGACCCGGUGAAACAUUGCAGUGGAGUUGCGGGCGCACAUCGUAAACCAUAACGCAGUCCUAAGGGGCCAUGGAACAGAAAUCUCCAGUAAACAAAAGGUAAAGUCCCCUGAUUUGAUUUCAGUGUGAAUACAAACCAUGAAAUGUGGCCUAUCGAUCCUUAGUCCCUCGACAUUGAGCUAGAGUGCCAGAAAAUUACCACAGGAUAACUGCUUGUGCGCCAAGCGUUCAUAGCGACGUCGCUUUUGAUCCUUCGAUUCGCUCUUCCUAUCAUACCGAAGCAGAAUCGUAAGCGUGGAUUGUCACCCACUAAUAGGAACGUGAGCUGGUUAGACCGUCGUGAGACAGUAGUUUACCCUACUGAUGACCUCACCGCAAUGGUAAUCAGCUAGUACGAGAGAACCGCUGAUUCAGAUAAUGUUUUGCGGCUGUCCGACCGGCAGCCGCGAAGCUACCAUCUGCUGAUAAUGGCUGAACGCCUCUAAGUCAGAAUCCAUGCCAGAACGCGUGAUACCACCCGCACGUAAGAUGGACAAGAAUAGCCUCGCUUAGCGUCUUAGCAGGCGAUCCUCCACGGCGCUCGAAGCGCUCGUGUAUUCGCGUAUGUAAUUCAACACGACGGUCAAAUCCUUGCAGACGACUAGCUGCGAAACGCCUGUAACAGAAAGCCUUUGUACGA
rnacentral:rRNA from 1 species